rfam:Lupinus angustifolius cultivar Tanjil chromosome LG17, whole genome shotgun sequence.
ACGACCUUACUUGAACAGGAUCUGUUCUAUAGGCUCGUACCAUUGUGUCCUUGAGUUCUAAGGAGACAAGAACCUAAGCCUGGUUGAUGAAUCGUGACCGUGUAAUCAGAGCGUGAUUAAUGGCUACGAUGAUCUCUCCUUUGAGAGACUCAUCUGUGGCAGUGGAGGAUCGUUCUCAGACAGUGUUCACCACUGGCUGGGAUGGUUACACGGUUGUCUGACAGGUU